rnacentral:rRNA from 1 species
AUUGAACGCUGGCGGCAUGCCUUACACAUGCAAGUCGAACGGCAGCACGGGAGCUUGCUCCUGGUGGCGAGUGGCGACCGGGUGAGUAAUACACCGGACCGUACCCAGUCGUGGGGGAUAACGCACCGAAACGUGCGCUAAUACCCCAUACGACCUACGGGUGAAAGCGGGGGCCCGUAAGGCCUCGCGCUAUUGGAGCGGCCGCUGUCUGAUUAGCUAGUUGGCGGGGUAAUAGCCCACCAAGGCGACGAUCAGUAGCUGGUCUGAGAGGACGGUCAGCCACACUGGGACUGAGACACGGCCCAGACUCCUACGGGAGGCAGCAGUGGGGAAUUUUGGACAAUGGGGGCAACCCUGAUCCAGCAAUGCCGCGUGUGCGAAGAAGGCCUUCGGGUUGUAAAGCACUUUUGUCAGGGAAGAAAUCUUUCAGGCUAAUACCCUUGGAAGGAUGACGGUACCUGAAGAAUAAGCACCGGCUAACUACGUGCCAGCCGCCGCGGUAA